rnacentral:rRNA from 1 species
AUUGAACGCUGGCGGCAGGCCUAACACAUGCAAGUCGAACGGUAACAGGAAGCAGCUUGCUGCUUUGCUGACGAGUGGCGGACGGGUGAGUAAUGUCUGGGAAACUGCCUGAUGGAGGGGGAUAACUACUGGAAACGGUAGCUAAUACCGCAUAACGUCGCAAGACCAAAGAGGGGGACCUUCGGGCCUCUUGCCAUCGGAUGUGCCCAGAUGGGAUUAGCUAGUAGGUGGGGUAACGGCUCACCUAGGCGACGAUCCCUAGCUGGUCUGAGAGGAUGACCAGCCACACUGGAACUGGGACACGGUCCAGACUCCUACGGGAGGCAGCAGUGGGGAAUAUUGCACAAUGGGCGCAAGCCUGAUGCAGCCAUGCCGCGUGUAUGAAGAAGGCCUUCGGGUUGUAAAGUACUUUCAGCGGGGAGGAAGGGAGUAAAGUUAAUACCUUUGCUCAUUGACGUUACCCGCAGAAGAAGCACCGGCUAACUCCGUG